UAAUUCCUCGAUGGUUGGUGAACUUCUCAUUUUUAACCUAACACGUUUAAUACGGGAAUCCUUAAAGUUCUCAAUCUGUGUUGAAAGCUGGUCCUGAACCAGAAUCCUUAAGAUUGCAGACAAGAUACCCACCUGCACAGUGCAGGCUUUAAACCUGAAGGUACCACGGCCGAUUGGGGAAUUUU
rnacentral:other from 1 species